GACGAACGCUGGCGGCGUGCUUAACACAUGCAAGUCGAACGGAAAGGCCCUGCUUUUGUGGGGUGCUCGAGUGGCGAACGGGUGAGUAACACGUGAGUAACCUGCCCUUGACUUUGGGAUAACUUCAGGAAACUGGGGAUAAUACCGGAUAGGAGCUCCUGCUGCAUGGUGGGGGUUGGAAAGUUUCGGCGGUUGGGGAUGGACUCGCGGCUUAUCAGCUUGUUGGUGGGGUAGUGGCCUACAAAGGCUUUGACGGGUAGCCGGCAUGAGAGGGGGACCGGCCACAUUGGGACUGAGGUACGGCCCAGACUCCUACGGGAGGCAGCAGUGGGGAAUAUUGCACAAUGGGCGGAAGCCUGAUGCAGCAACGCCGCGUGCGUGAUGACGGCCUUCGGGUUGUAAACCGCUUUCGCCUGUGACGAAGCGUGAGUGACGGUAAUGGGUAAAGAAGCACCGGCUAACUACGUG
rnacentral:rRNA from 1 species